GGCGGAUGUAGCCAAGUGGAUCAAGGCAGUGGAUUGUGAAUCUACCAUGCGCGGGUUCAAUUCCCGUCGUUC
rnacentral:tRNA from 2 species